rnacentral:misc_RNA from 1 species
UCUCCGUUGGUGAACCAGCGGAGGGAUCAUUACCGAGUUUACAGCUCCCAAACCCCUAUGUGAACGUUACCAAACUGUUGCCUCGGCGGGAAAUUCAUGCCCUGGGCGCGUCGCAGCCCCGCACCAAGGCGCCUGCCGGCGAACCAACCAAAACUCUUUUGUAUGUCCCUCACGGACUUUUAUAAUUCUUAACUGUCUCGGCGCCCCUAGCGGGCGUUUCGAAAAUGAAUCAAAACUUUCAACAACGGAUCUCUUGGUUCUG